rnacentral:rRNA from 1 species
UUCGGGGAGACAGGUGGUGCAUGGUUGUCGUCAGCUCGUGUCGUGAGAUGUUGGGUUAAGUCCCGCAACGAGCGCAACCCCUAUUGCUAGUUACCAUCAUUAAGUUGGGGACUCUAGCGAGACUGCCAGUGAUAAACUGGAGGAAGGUGGGGAUGACGUCAAAUCAUCAUGCCCCUUAUGACCUGGGCUACAAACGUGAUACAAUGGCUGGAACAAAGGGAUGCGAAGCAGUGAUGUGGAGCGAAACCCAUAAAAACAGUCUCAGUUCGGAUUGAAGUCUGCAACUCGACUUCAUGAAGUCGGAAUCGCUAGUAAUCGCGGAUCAGAACGCCGCGGUGAAUACGUUCUCGGGGUUU